CGCGCAUGUUGAGCUUGUUGAUGUACAUAUCGAUCAACCAUCGACGUGCAACACACAUCACAGAUUACAUCUCAGAUUGCUUUAAAAAUUAAAUAAAAAUAAAAAUAAAAUUACAACCCUUUUCAUUGAGACACGCAGGUCUCUAAUACAUGAAUUUAAGAUGCACGCAGGCAUCUGAAAAUUAAAAUUACAUGCAUCACAGAACAUCACCGAACAUCGCAGAACAUUUCAGCACAUUCAAAGGGUCCAU
rnacentral:lncRNA from 1 species